UUUCCUCUACUCUCUCGCUCCUCUUCGUGACUUCAACACGUUAAUUCUCUUCACGUUCUCAACGAGUCGAUCGGUCCUCGCGUUCGGCCGGAAGUUCGAUCUGGACUUUCUUGUCGAGUCUCUCUUCGACGAUAUUAUUCCUCAUAACGUUCUAUAGUUUUGAUCGUGUAAGAUCGUAUAGUCGAUAUCGUGUAAGAUCGUUUAGUAUCGUAGAAGAUUGUUUCUGCGAUAUUGUUAAAUCAUUCAGCAAAAGUAAGUAAGUAGAGAGCAAAAAGAACGAGAAGGAGAGAGAGAAGGAAACGUAAAUGUAUACCAAGAGUGUGAUCACAGUCUCAAGCAAGCAUUAGCAAGGCGGGUGUAAGCAAGACGAUUCAUCAACAUUAUCACUGACGGCUGCAGUUAGCUGACGAAGAGAAGAGUACUUCUCAACCAAGGAAAACUAAGAUACCUUCGUAAGAGAUAUAUUUACGUAUACAAGGUGUCCGGAACGUAAGAAUGAAACUGAGAGCAAGAUGAGAAAGAUUUAAAUAUGUCAGACAUCGAUCAUUUCGUGUUUUAUCCUUGACAUUAAAAAUUUAUAAAUGUUGCUAAUAUUCUGUUUCAUCAAUCUUUGAAUGUUCAAUAAUUUAGUAUCUCAUCAAAUUUGGUAAAAAAAAUUAUAGUAAU